rnacentral:tRNA from 1 species
UAGCUCAGUUGGUAGAGCGCUCCACUGGAAAUGGAGACAGCGUCCCUGGUUCAAUAACAAAACCGGG